rnacentral:rRNA from 2 species
UACGGAGGGUGCAAGCGUUAAUCGGAAUUACUGGGCGUAAAGCGCGCGUAGGUGGUUAGGUAAGCGAGAUGUGAAAGCCCCGGGCUUAACCUGGGAACGGCAUUUCGAACUGUCUGACUAGAGUGUGGUAGAGGGUAGUGGAAUUUCCUGUGUAGCGGUGAAAUGCGUAGAUAUAGGAAGGAACACCAGUGGCGAAGGCGGCUACCUGGACCAACACUGACACUGAGGUGCGAAAGCGUGGGGAGCAAAC